CACGAACCGUACGAACGUUAUUCGGAAUUACUGGGCUUAAAGGGUUUGUAGGCGGCCAUGUGAGUCAGGUGUGAAAUCCCUCGGCUCAACCGAGGAACGGCGCUUGAUACUGCAUGGCUUGAGGGAGACAGGGGUAAGCGGAACUGAUGGUGGAGCGGUGAAAUGCGUUGAUAUCAUCAGGAACACCGGUGGCGAAAGCGGCUUACUGGGUCUCUUCUGACGCUGAGGAACGAAAGCUAGGGUAGCGAACGGG
rnacentral:rRNA from 1 species